rnacentral:rRNA from 1 species
ACAGGGAGGUAGUGACAAGAAAUAACAAUACGGGGCUUAAUGUCUUGUAAUUGGAAUGAUGGGAAUUUAAACCUCUUCCAGAGUAUCAAUUGGAGGGCAAGUCUGGUGCCAGCAGCCGCGGUAAUUCCAGCUCCAAUAGCGUAUAUUAAAAUUGUUGCAGUUAAAAAGCUCGUAGUUGAAUUUCUGCUACAUUGCCUAUUCUCCUUUACGAGUUUGGGUCUUUUGUGGCUUAUCUGGGUUCGCUUGCGUUCCCGGUGUUUUACUUUGAGAAAAUUAGAGUGCUCAAAGCAGGCUUUUGCCUUGAAUAGUUUAGCAUGGAAUAAUAAAGUAGGACUUUGGUUCUAUUUUGUUGGUUUUAGGUACCAAAGUAAUGGUUAAUAGGAACAGUUGGGGGCAUUCGUAUUUAACUGUCAGAGGUGAAAUUCUUAGAUUUGUUAAAGACGAACUACUGCGAAAGCAUUUGCCAAGGAUGUUUUCAUUAAUCAAGAACGAAAGUUAGGGGAUCGAAGACGAUCAGAUACCGUCGUAGUCCUAACCAUAAACUAUGCCGACUAGAGAUUGGAGGUCGUCAGUUUUUACGACUCCUUC